rnacentral:rRNA from 1 species
UAUUAUUUUUGAUGUUAAUUAUUUAACCUGAGUAGUAAUAGAUAUGUUCUUGAAACUUAAAGAAUUUGGCAGUAUUUUAUUCUGUUUAGAGGAACCUGUUCUUUUAUCGAUAAUCCUCGUUGGACCUUACUUAAUUUAUUGAUUUGUAUACCGCCGUUGUAUUGAGGAUCUUUAUAGUGUUUUUAAUUUUCUGGAUUUUAUUUAAAAUUAUUUCAGGUCAAGGUGCAAUUUAUGGUUGAGUAGAAAUGGGUUACGUUUGUAUUUAUUUUUGGAUUAUUAAAUGAAAUUUUAAUAUGAAAUUGGAUUUAAAUGUAAUUAUUAUUUUAGAUUGUAUUAAUGAUUUAGUUUCUAGAGUGUGUACACAUCGCCCGUCACUCUCGUUAUUUAUUCGAG